GGCGAUUUCCGAAUGGGGAAACCCAGUGUGAUUCGUCACACUAUCAUUAACUGAAUCCAUAGGUUAAUGAGGCGAACCGGGGGAACUGAAACAUCUAAGUACCCCGAGGAAAAGAAAUCAACCGAGAUUCCCCCAGUAGCGGCGAGCGAACGGGGAGCAGCCCAGAGCCUGAAUCAGUGUGUGUGUUAGUGGAAGCGUCUGGAAAGGCGCGCGAUACAGGGUGACAGCCCCGUACACAAAAAUGCACAUGCUGUGAGCUCGAUGAGUAGGGCGGGACACGUGGUAUCCUGUCUGAAUAUGGGGGGACCAUCCUCCAAGGCUAAAUACUCCUGACUGACCGAUAGUGAACCAGUACCGUGAGGGAAAGGCGAAAAGAACCCCGGCGAGGGGAGUGAAAAAGAACCUGAAACCGUGUACGU
rnacentral:rRNA from 1 species